AGGAUAAUAGUUUAAAAAAAACAUUUAAAUUGCAAUUAAAAAAUCUAAUGCUAUCUUA
rnacentral:tRNA from 1 species